rnacentral:misc_RNA from 1 species
GAUGAAGAACGUAGCGAAAUGCGAUACUUGGUGUGAAUUGCAGAAUCCCGUGAACCAUCGAGUCCUUGAACGCAAGUUGCGCCUCAAGCCAUUAGGUUGAGGGCACGUCUGCGUGGGCGUCACAUAUCGUUGCCUGAUGCCAGUUUCCUCGUGAUGGGUGACUGUGCAGGGCGAAUGAUGGCUUCCCGUGAGCAUUGUUGCCUCAUGGUUGGUUGAAAAUUGAGUCCUUGGUAGGGAGCGCCGUGAUAGAUGGUGGUUGAGUGACGAACGAGACCCAAUCAUGUGAGACCCCUACCGAAUUUGGCCUUCAUGACCCACAUGCGUCUUUGGAACGCUCAUGGCGAGACCUCAGAUCAGGCGGGGCUACCCGCUGAGUUUAAGCAUAUCAGUAAGCGGGGGA